UACGGAGGGGGCCAGCGUUGUUCGGAAUCAUUGGGCGUAAAGGGCGCGUAGGCGGCCGACCAAGUCGGAGGUGAAAUCCCUCGGCUCAACUGAGGAACUGCCUCCGAUACUGUUCGGCUUGAGUCCCGGAGAGGGUAGUGGAAUUGCCGGUGUAGUGGUGAAAUGCGUAGAGAUCAGGAAGAACACCGGUGGCGAAGGCGCUCUGCUAGGUCGCAACUGACACUGAGGGACGAAAGCUAGGGGAGCGAAUGGG
rnacentral:rRNA from 1 species